CUCUGAGUAGCUCAGUCGGUUAAGUGUCUGACUUUGGCUCAGGUCACGAUCUUGCUGUUCGUGAGUUCAAGCCCCACCUCAGGCU
rnacentral:tRNA from 1 species